rnacentral:tRNA from 1 species
UUGUUAGUCUAGCGGCAUGAUUCUUGUUUUGGGAACAAGAGGUCCCGGGUUCGAAU